rnacentral:rRNA from 1 species
GGAUUAGAUACCCUGGUAGUCCACGCCGUAAACGAUGUGCACUAGAUCGGGGCGGCUCUCACGCCCUCCCGGUCGAAGGAAAACCGUUAAGUGCACCGCCUGGGGAGUACGGUCGCAAGGCUAAAACUCAAAGGAAUUGACGGGGGCUCACACAAGCGGUGGAGCAUGUUGCUUAAUUCGAGGCAACGCGAAGAACCUUACCUAGGCUUGACAUGUAUGGAUUAACCUUUCGAAAGAUUGGCCACGCCCUUUGGGUGGAACAUACACAGGUGCUGCAUGGCUGUCGUCAGCUCGUGCCG